AAUACAAGUCCGUUGGUGAUGCGCGAAUCGGCCAGCUGCCCGGGAGGCAGGGAGCGCUGAGGACCUGGAAGAGCUGUUCCCCCUCCGCCCGCUAAGAAGAGAAUGCUCCUGAGAAGUCUCUUCCUCUUGACAGACCACCAAGUCUGUCAUGGGCACCUUCCAUGGCAUCCUGUGCUUCCCCAGUCAGCACUGACCUCCUUGAUGAAGAAAGAAAAAGCCAUAUGAUCGUGUCAGUAGUUGGAGAAAAAGUAUUCGACUAAAUUCUACAGCUGUUCAGGAUAAAAGCUAUCAGGAGACUGGAAGAAGACCAGAACCUUCUCAACAGAUCAAAGACAUGUACUCCAUACUUCCAGGAAAAAUGCCUUAUAUGAAUGGAGAAGAUACAGCGCUUUCUCCCUAAGUGUACUGUUUUUGUGAUUCAUCUGUGCUGUCAUGUAUUGCCGGAAGUGUUGAGUUGAGUGGUGUUCAGUUGUACUCAUAUGCUACAGACUUUUUUUCCCAUUGCACCCAGAAGUAGAUAUGACACUUAUGGAAAUGUUGCCUCUCAACUCCCAAUCUACCCUUCAUUACUUGCUCUGUGGUAGAUAGCAUAGCCCCUUUAGUUUCGCCUGAGAGAACAGAGUUAAAUAAACUGUGCCAGUAGAUGGCGUUAGAGGGCCAUUGCACGCGGAAGGAUCUUCUUUUCCUGGUUCUAUUGUGCUCUUAUUUAGUUUUCUUUUUCCUACUGUCCUGUACCCACACGAGUGUUGACAUGCAUUAGCGGUCUGCCCCAGAUGUCCGUCCCCAUCACAUUAUGCCUCUGAGCGCCCAGCCCUAGCUCAGGCCCAAGUUGGUACAGCCCUCCCAGUGAGGACUCUGUUCACUUACGGCCUUGAACUGUCCAGAUAGUGGGUAGGCCCUGAGGCCUUAACUCCCACUGUGUGUCAACCGCCAGCUUCCCCUGACC
ensembl:lncRNA